ensembl:lncRNA novel transcript
AGCAGUUUAUGGAGUUGAGCACACAGGCAGGUGCUGGACCAGAAAGGACACACUUUUCCAGGCUUGGCUCGGGGUCUUCAUGAUGCUUUAAAGUUUGAUGGUCUGGAGCGGAAAUGCCAGAGCAACCUGCAGGUGAUAAAGAAGAACAGGUCAUACAGUCAGAAGUCCAAAAUCAAGGUGUCCACUGGAUUGGUUCCUUCUGAGGGCCCUGCUGGAGAAACUGAUCCAUGCCUCUCUCCUAGCUUCUGGUGGUUGCUUGCAAUCUUUGGAGUUCCCGGCUUGUAGCUGCGUCACUCCAGUAUCUGCCUCCAUCUUCACAUGGCAUUCUCUUUUGUGCGUAUGUGUCUCCUCUGUGUCCAUCUCCAAAUCUUUACAAGGACAUUGCCAUUCAGGAUUAGGGCCCACUCUAACCUAGGAUGACCUCAUUUUAACUUGAUUACAUAUGUAAAAACCCUACUUCCAAAUACUGUUCAUAGGUACAGAUGUUAGGAUUUCAAAAUAUAUUUUCGAGAGAUGCAAUUCAAACCACAUAAGCCAAU